rnacentral:rRNA from 1 species
AUACGCAGCAAAGGGCGUCUGGGGGAUGCCUAAGGCUUCUGACGGCGAUGAAGGACGUGGCAAGCGACGAAACACGGUGGGGACCCGCUGGCAGGGGCUGAUCCACUGG